GUGGGGAAUAUUGCACAAUGGGCGCAAGCCUGAUGCAGCGACGCCGCGUGGGGGAUGAAGGCCUUCGGGUUGUAAACUCCUUUCGCUAUCGACGAAGCCACUUGUGGUGACGGUAGGUAGAUAAGAAGCACCGGCUAACUACGUGCCAGCAGCCGCGGUAAUACGUAGGGUGCAAGCGUUGUCCGGAAUUACUGGGCGUAAAGAGCUCGUAGGUGGUUUGUCGCGUCGUCUGUGAAAUCCCGGGGCUUAACUUCGGGCGUGCAGGCGAUACGGGCAUAACUUGAGUGCUGUAGGGGAGACUGGAAUUCCUGGUGUAGCGGUGAAAUGCGCAGAUAUCAGGAGGAACACCGAUGGCGAAGGCAGGUCUCUGGGCAGUUACUGACGCUGAGGAGCGAAAGCAUGGGUAGCGAACAGGAUUAGAUACCCCGGUAGUCC
rnacentral:rRNA from 1 species